rnacentral:lncRNA from 7 species
AUGAAGGCGGCUGCGCUUAGCCUCGUGAUGCUCCUCGCCUCACUCCCUCUCUUCCUCACCCCACAGCCACUUGUGCAAGAAGAGCCUGGUGAGGAUCUUCUUCAGGUGAGUGCCCGGGCAGCCAUGCUGAUUGUGCCCAAGGGUGGCCCAGCAGGGAGCUUCGCAGGGAUGGGUGGGGUCUGCCCCUGCCUGGGCACAUCCAAAUCUCUUCCAUUUGCACCCUACUCCCCGUCUCUUUGGGUCCCCAAAUGGCCACGUUUGGGAGCUCCAAAUGCCCUCUCCUUGGGUCCUUGUAUCCCAUCCUUUUGGAACAAACAAAUCUCCUUUCUCCUUUGGAAAUCCUUAGAUUUCCAAAGCUAAAGAGAUGGGAAUUGGCAACCCAAUUCCCAUCUCUUUAGGUCCCCGAUCCCCUCUGUUCCAUUUUCCCCCAUUCUCAUCUCUUUGAGAUCCCAGUUCCUCUCUAUCUGACAUCUCCAGUCUCUUGUCAGCCCUAUUCCCCCCGCUCUGGGUCCCCCAAGUUCCUGCCCUGUCCCUGUGUCCAUCCCCAGCCCUGAGCUCCUCCAUGGGCAGAGGCGCACACAGACCUUGGCAGCCAUGGGGGUGGGGGCAGACCCAGGGCCAACCAGGGGGCUCGGAUGGGGACACCCAGUUCUGCAGUUCCUCAUGGCUGCCCUAUGGCUCUUCUUCCCUAGGCAUUGCCGUCUGAUGCUGUUGAAUUUCCUCCUCCUGUGAGUUGAGGGGUGACCCUGGGGCAAGGACGGGGCUGGGAUGUGUUGCUGUCGUCUCUGUUCCCCUGGGACUUGGGGACACCCCUGGGGCUCCAAGGCAUCUGUCGGGCUCCCUCCUACUUCGGGUGGUCAAUGGGCAGGGGAAGGAGGCAACAGGGAGUAGUUGGGGCUGAGCAGACUACAGGACCACAGUGUUCUAGAGCCCACAAUGGGUCCCUGCACCUUCAGGGUGUCCCUGUGUGUCCCAUUGCCCCCAGCAUGUCCCACUGUCCCAUUACUCUCAGUGUGUCCCUAACACCCCCUUUCUCCCCAGGACAAUCUCUUCAGUACAGAGGAGAAUCCCCUGCAUGUGAGACGUGUGGCCCUGGAUCUGCGUGUCUAGGUGAGCAGCACGGGGACACCUGCAACCCCACAAGGGCACCUGGGGCACCCUGGGUGUCUCCGGAGCCCUGAGGACCAGGCAUCAGGGGCUGGGAAUGGAUGGUAUGGAGGGGACUGUCCCUGGCCUGUUCCAACAGGGAGGCCUGGGCACUGUCACCUCCAGACCUUCCCUUGCGCUCUAUGGGGCUGUGCUGAGGAGGGGAUUUGAAUGGGGCAUGUUCAGGGUGCCCUAUGGAUGGCCCAGGGUCACCAUGCAGCUGGGACAGGGGAUGUGGCUGCUGUUCCCAGGGGACCCACGUCCUGCCCUGGGUCUCUUGGCUGCUGCCCAUCCUUCUCCUGCCCUAAGUCCCUGGGGACAAACCUUGCAGGGACAAGGCUUCUCCUCACCGCCAAUGCCCUUGGACAUCUUCUGAUGACCAGUGCUGCCCUCUAAUGACCAAUGACAGCCUCUGAUGACCGAUGAAGACCCUGAUGAUCAAUGACCCCCUCUGAUGAUCAUUAAAUCCCUCGGCAAAUCUAUACUCUGUGUUUCUGUGUCCUUGUCCUCACGCUCAGCAGGGACUACUCAGGUCUGCCUCUGCCUGGCAGUGGCCACCCCAAAGUGCUGGGAGGGGUCCCCAGCUCCAUGCCACACACGCCAUGUCCUAUGUCUCUGUGGGCUUCCCCACCCUCUCUCGUCAUCUGAUCCAAAAUCCUAAAGGACGGAGCUGCUCACGCUGCUGAGCAGCUCCAAUACCCUCCCUCUGCUCUCUCCCUACUUGUCCUUCCAGUUCCGCCCAAGGGACGGAAUUUACUGACGUAAGGGGAGAGUAAAAACAGCAGUAAGGUGAGAGUACAGCCUGAGUAGAGUAAGAGUAAACCCGGUGCAAAGCGUGAGUAAAAGCAGGGGGAAAGUAAGGGUAAAGAUGGACUAAAGUGUUAGUAAACGCGAGUAAACAGUUUGUAAACCCAGAGUAAAUUGUGAAUACAUCCAGAGUAGAAGGGUGAGUAAAUCCUCAGUGAGGACUGAGUAAACCCUGUCAUGGUUUUGUAACUUCGCUAUUGGUAUUCCACAUCAUAACAUCAUGGACAAAAGAGAAGAACUAUGUGUCCCAGAGGACCUCAUGGUCAGAGAAGGAAGAGACAUCACAGAAGAUACAUCAUCUGGUUGCAUGUGGUCUUUUUCACUUUCACUUGCUGCCAGGGAGAGGAGUGGGUGUGCUUCCAAGCUGUGCGCCUUCAUCAAGUAGGGCUUUCGGUUUCUGAAACUCUCUCUCUCUCUCACACUCUUUCGCUCUCUCUCAUUUCAUUUGAUUUAUUAUCCUUACUUCCAAUUAGAUUGUAUUAUACUGUGUCAUCUUGCAUUCCAACAUCGUAGUUAGUAAAAUAAGUUCUCCUUCUUAGAUCAUUGCCGUUUUUUUUCUCAGGAAGCCGGGGGGGGGGGGGGGGGGGGGUGCGAGCCUACUGCCCCCCUGUCACGGGCACAGAUCUAUCUAGAUAACUCCGUGACAAACCCGAAGGAAAGUGAGAGUAAAACCAGAGUAGAGAGUGAGUGAAUCCGGAGUCAAGUGUAAGUAAGCGUGCAGUAAAGUGUGAGUAAAACCCAGAGUGAAUUGACAGUAGACCCAAAGUAGAGAAUGAGUACACCCUGAGUAAGGUCUGAUUAAACCCGAAGUAAAGUGUGAGUAAACCAGUAGCAAAUUGUGAGUGUACCUGGGGAAGAGUGUGAGUAAAACCUGGAGAAAAGACUGAGUAAACCACGAAAAAAGUGUGAGUAGAACAUGAGUAAACUGUGUAAAACCCAGAGAAAGGUUUGAGUAAAACCAGGAGUAAGGUGUGAAUGCACACGGAGUAGAGUAAGAGUAAACCCAGACUAAAGGUAGAGUAAAACUCAAUGUAAAGUGUGUGAAAAGUUGGUAUAAAGUGUGAGUAAAACCAGCAGAAAAAUAGGGGUAAACCCUGAGUAAUACUUCAGAUCACCUGAAAUGAAGAAUGAGUAAAAACCUGGAGUAAACUGAGAGUACACAUGGAGUAGACAGUGAGUACACCCUGAGUAAGGUCGAAAUAAUCCUGGAGGAGAGAGAGUAAACCCGGAGUAAAAUGUUAGCAAACAUGGAGUAAAGUGUGAGUAAAACCCGUAGUAAAUUCUGAGUACACCUAGAUUACAGAGUGCUUAAACCCAGAGUAAAGCAUGAAGUAAGAAAACUGUGAGUAAUAUGAAUAAAACUGUGAGUAAUAUAAAAAUGUGAGUAAUAAAGGAAACUGAGUAAGAUCGAGAGUAAAUUGUGAGUACACCCAAAGUAAGAGUAAGGGUAAACCUGGAGUAAAGAGUGUGCAAACCCAGUGUAAACUGUUAGUAAAACAGAGAAAAAUGUAAGAAUAAAUGCAGAGUAACAUGGGAGUAAACCAUGAGUAAAAUAUGAGUAAAGUCUGGUGAAAAUUACAAGUAAAAUACUGUGUAAAGUGUGGGCACACACGGAGUAAACUGGGAGUAAAACUGAAGUAAAGUGUGAGUGAACCCAGAGUAAACUGAGUGAACCUGGAGUCAAGAGUGAGAAAAAAAAGAGUAAGGUGUGGGAACACACAGAAUAAAGUGUUGGUGUAUCCAGAGAAAAGUAAGAGUAAACCCAGAGUAAAGUGUGAGAGUAAAAUCUGAGAUAAAGUUU